UUUAUAUUUUCGUCAUAACGCGUUACCUGGAGUAAUCUACAAUUGCAAUUACCAUUGCAUUCUGAGCGACGCGACGUUAUUAUCCGAUGUCACAGUCAUAAUUAUGAGAUCCUAUGAAUUAGCGGACCAAAUCGGAUCGGUUGAUAGGAAUUUACAAUCCGUUUCCUGAACUAGUGCUUCAUUACGUAUAAAAGUAUCAUGAGAGAAUGGCGUAUUGAACUAUUUUUUAUUUAAUACGAGACUGCAAAGCACAUUAUAUUUUAUGGUUGUAUAUAAAAAAUUAAUCGAUGAUAUCUUUGUUCUCGGAGAAAGUUGACUAAACAAAAAACAGGUUACUGGAACGAAACGUAUAUUAUAUGAAGGAAAGAAAAGAAAAAAUAAGAUUACCUUUGACCCGAGCUCGUCAAGAGAGUGAAGCCGAAGAGAAUGAACGUAUGAAACGGACGUCGUUGGAGAAUCGAGCUCCUUCUCCUUCUUCAAGGAACUUACGACGAAAGUGUAACAGUAGGUUUCUCAAAGCAUCAACUAGACGCUCCCUGUUCGCUGGAGAUGAACAAGUUUAUCCGAUAUAUGGAGACGUACGAAAUCAGUCGAAGUUAACAACGCAUUGCUGCACGCUCUGUCGAGAGUUUGGUGGAAGGAGAAAGUCAUCCACCUGGUAGAUAGAUAGAUCUCUACCUUUUGGAUCAUCAUUAAGUCUCCAGCUCUGCAGUAGAGAAGAGACAAGAAAAGAGAAAAAUUCUAUAGACCUGUUUGUUGCAAAGAAAAAUAUAAUCUCCUCGAAUCGAGGACUCGUGCUAGUACUCAAUUUGAUCAAAGUAUUAUAUCGAGUGUUAGAUAUUUGAAAACAUGAUAUCGGUGUCUAUCCUUUUGCGAAGGAGUCAUAGUGUACAAGUGUUGUAUUCUUCGUUUUAAUUCAAACGAGUUUACUAUUCAAUAAUUAUGAUCUUGAAAGGA